AUCUCAGCAGCGUCCACACCUGUGCUGGUUUUGAUAGUAACUGGAAGAAUAUUCAGUGUAUUUUUAGCUUUCAGCCACGUCUCUAAAGGAGGUGCGAUGUCAGGACACGCGAGGAACACACAGCUUGCUCUCCUUUUGAUGUUGCUCGCUGUAACUUGCAACGUCAGCGAGUGCAAUCGCAGAUGUGGCAUCCCGUGUACACGUGAGCUUAAACCCGUGUGUGGCUCAGACUUCAAGACCUACAACAACAUAUGUCUUUUGAGAAGCGAAAGCAUAUGUUCCAAGCCAGGACUCCAUGCUAUACGUCCCGGUCGAUGUUAAGAUUCGUUCACCAACAACUGUGAAAUCCUCUAUUACCUGUAAGAUAUCGGCUGCACUGCAACGCUAAACUAUCCUUGCAACAUACGCAACCUGAGAAGACCUUAGUCAUAUAACGGCUAAGGUGACCUUGGUGGUGUUAACAACGCAUAAAAAAAUUACAAUAAAUAUUUCAAAGUCACCCCA